rnacentral:rRNA from 1 species
AGUGAACGCUGGCGGUAGGCCUAACACAUGCAAGUCGAACGGCAGCACAGUAAGAGCUUGCUCUUACGGGUGGCGAGUGGCGGACGGGUGAGGAAUACAUCGGAAUCUACUUUUUCGUGGGGGAUAACGGAGGGAAACUUACGCUAAUACCGCAUACGACCUACGGGUGAAAGCAGGGGAUCUUCGGACCUUGCGCGAUUGAAUGAGCCGAUGUCGGAUUAGCUAGUUGGCGGGGUAAAGGCCCACCAAGGCGACGAUCCGUAGCUGGUCUGGGAGGAUGAUCAGCCACACUGGAACUGAGACACGGUCCAGACUCCUACGGGAGGCAGCAGUGGGGAAUAUUGGACAAUGGGCGCAAGCCUGAUCCAGCCAUGCCGCGUGGGUGAAGAAGGCCUUCGGGUUGUAAAGCCCUUUUGUUGGGAAAGAAAAGCAGCAGGUUAAUACCCCGCUGUUCUGACGGUACCCAAAGAAUAAGCACCGGCUAACUUCGUG